rnacentral:rRNA from 1 species
UACGUAGGUGGCAAGCGUUGUCCGGAUUUACUGGGCGUAAAGAGCGCGCAGGCGGUCGUUCAAGUCGCGUGUGAAAGCCCCCGGCUCAACUGGGGAGGGUCACGCGAUACUGAUCGACUCGAAGGCAGGAGAGGGUAGUGGAAUUCCCGGUGUAGUGGUGAAAUGCGUAGAUAUCGGGAGGAACACCAGUGGCGAAGGCGGCAUCCUGGACCGACAUUGACGCUGAACGGCGAAAGCUAGGGGAGCAAACGGG